rnacentral:lncRNA from 1 species
AUUUGUUUUCUAGGGUACCUAAAUGUACACAAGCACAGACUACAUAAAUUGCAGAUAUUCAUAGUAGUAGUGAUCUUUAGUAAAAUUUUGUUCUUCGCGUCCAGUCCCAGUCUUUUAGUAAAUUGUGUUCGUCGUGAGAAGAUAUCAGCAUUGAUUAUAAAUAGAUAUCAGUCAGAAAGUCAUGGAUGUGUGUGUAGGUGGUAGAAAAGUACUCGAUGUCGUUGAAGCAGUCCGAAACUUGAAAUGGGUUUUCAACGACAUGGCAGAUUGCAGAUGAUUUCGAGUACGAAGCCGAACGAGCUGUUAUAAAAACAAGAAGGUACACGGUAGAAGAGUGUACCGAAGAAGCCACCAAAUACCACAAGGGAGCGAGAAUAUGUGAAGACUAUCUCUCUGAUUUGAUUUGCAUGUGUUGCUUUAAAAAAAUAAUAAAAAAUCUAGGGCUGACUGAUUUCUUAAAUCAGUUCAAAGAUGUUCUACCUACUGAAGAUGAUGGGUAAUGGGUAGUGUAGAUAGUGUAAAUGCAUGUAGAUAUAAUUAAUAAAUAAUAUAUUUUACUUUGUAGUUUUCAUUUCAAAACAACAUAUCCUUAAAAUUGGAGGAAUUUAUGAAAAAGAUCAAGGAACUAAAGGAAAAAAUCAUUGGAAAAAAUAAAACAAUUUGAAGAUAAACAAAUAUAUAAUGUUUAAGUCUUUUAGUAAACUGCACUUAAUAAGUAAACCGUACACUAUGUAAUUGUUGUUUUAAUAAAUUAUUAUAAUACUAAUUGUUUGUUUUAUUUAUAACUAGGAAAUAAAACAAAAAAUAAUAUAUUUUUAUUUUUGCAUUAAAAAAGUAUCCUACAACCAAAAUACAUUAGAUAAAGCACAAAUACAUUUUUCACUAUUAUGAUAAAAACAAGCAGGUUCCUUAACUUCUAAUGCUGGUUGUCCAUCCAAUUCGUAUAAAGGAACAGCAAUGUAUUUUUUUAAAUAAUUUAAUAAUAGUCUGCUAAAUUUUUCGUUCUUAUUUGGUUUUAUCAAAUAAUAAGGUCUUAUGAAAGACUUACCUACUUUUUUCCUAAUAGCAGUUAGAACAUGAUUAAGAGAAAAGAAUAGGGCUUUUCAUCGAUAUUGUCAUUUGUUUCGAGCUUCUGUCAUUACAUAUUAUACCUAUGAAUACGGAUUAUACAACAAUCACAGAAAGUUCGAAACAAAUGACUGAAUGAAAAGCCCUAUUAGAAAUUUUCAUGUUUCCUGAUCUUGGCGAGUAGGUACACUGAAUAGUUAAUUGUGAAAGGGUAAAAUUAUUGGUUUUCAAUCUGCAUUAUGUUUGAAUUUUCAGCAUGUAAAGUUGACGAUUAUGCGUAAAAUUACAAGUGCAAAAUAUAUUGUAUAGGUAUAGGUAUCUCCAAACUAUUUGUAAGAUAAUCCAUCGUUGUAUUUUUACUACUUUAUUGUAAAAAUAUUUUUUUUAAUAUAUAAGGUUGCACCUCAAAUAAGUUCUUUAACUAAUCAAAUAAUAUCUUUUAACCAUGAGCUAAUUAUUUUAAUCUUCAAUUAAUUUGGGACGUCCGCCAUACUUGAAAAAUUUCGAACAGAAAACAUCAAUUUUAUAGUUUUAACUAUAACCCCUAG